rnacentral:rRNA from 1 species
GGAGGGUGCGAGCGUUAAUCGGAAUUACUGGGCGUAAAGGGUGCGCAGGCGGUUGUGCAAGACAGAUGUGAAAUCCCCGGGCUCAACCUGGGAAUUGCAUUUGUGACUGCACGGCUAGAGUGUGUCAGAGGGGGGUAGAAUUCCACGUGUAGCAGUGAAAUGCGUAGAGAUGUGGAGGAAUACCGAUGGCGAAGGCAGCCCCCUGGGAUAACACUGACGCUCAUGCACGAAAGCGUGGGGAGCAAACAGGAUUAGAUACCCUGGUAGUCCACGCCCCUAAACGAUGUCAACUAGUUGUCGGGUCUUAAUUGACUUGGUAACGCAGCUAACGCGCGAAGUUGACCGCCUGGGAGUACGGUCGCAAGAUUA